rnacentral:rRNA from 1 species
GGGAAACAGGUUAAUAUUCCUGUACCUCAAUUUAAUGCGAUGUGGGGACGGAGAAGGUUAGGUCAGCCAGGUGUUGGAUAUCCUGGUUCAAGCGUGUAGAUAGACUUUUUAGGUAAAUCCGGAAAGUUAAUAUCGAGGCGUGAUAACGAGUGAACUUUGUUCAUGAAGUGAUUAAUACCAUGCUUCCAAGAAAAGCCACUAAGCUUCAGUUAAGUUGAGACCGUACCGCAAACCGACACAGGUGGGCAGGAUGAGAAUUCUAAGGCGCUUGAGAGAACUCUGGAGAAGGAACUCGGCAAAUUAGUACCGUAACUUCGGGAUAAGGUACGCCCUUGUAGGUUGUAGCAAUUUACUUGCGAAGGCCGAAAGGGUUGCAGUGAAAAGGUGGCUGCGACUGUUUAAUAAAAACAUAGCACUGUGCUAACACGAAAGUGGAUGUAUACGGUGUGACGCCUGCCCGGUGCCGGAAGGUUAAUUGAUGGGGUGCAAGCUCUUGAUAGAAGCCCCGGUAAACGGCGGCCGUAACUAUAACGGUCCUAAGGUAGCGAAAUUCCUUGUCGGGUAAGUUCCGACCCGCACGAAUGGCGUAACGAUGGCCACACUGUCUCCUCUAGAGACUCAGCGAAGUUGAAAUGGUUGUGAAGAUGCAAUCUACCCGCGGUUAGACGGAAAGACCCCAUGAACCUUUACUAUAGCUUUACAUUGGACUUGGACAUCAUCUGUGUAGGAUAGGUGGGAGACUUUGAAGCAGGAUCGCUAGAUCUUGUGGAGUCACCCUUGAAAUACCACCCUGAUGUUGUCUAGGUUCUAACCCAGGUCCCUUAUCGGGAUCGGGGACCGUGUAUGGUGGGUAGUUUGACUGGGGCGGUCUCCUCCCAAAGAGUAACGGAGGAGUGCGAAGGUAACCUAGGUACGGUCGGAAAUCGUGCUGUUAGUGCAAUGGCAUAAGGUUGCUUGACUGCGAGACGGACAUGUCAAGCAGGUACGAAAGUAGGUCAUAGUGAUCCGGUGGUUCUGUAUGGAAGG